rnacentral:rRNA from 1 species
AAAUUGAAGAGUUUGAUCAUGGCUCAGAUUGAACGCUGGCGGCAGGCCUAACACAUGCAAGUCGAACGGUAACAGGAAGCAGCUUGCUGCUUUGCUGACGAGUGGCGGACGGGUGAGUAAUGUCUGGGAAACUGCCUGAUGGAGGGGGAUAACUACUGGAAACGGUGGCUAAUACCGCAUAAUGUCGCAAGACCAAAGAGGGGGACCUUCGGGCCUCUUGCCAUCAGAUGUGCCCAGAUGGGAUUAGCUUGUUGGUGAGGUAACGG